AUACGUAUGGAGCAAGCGUUAUCCGGAUUUACUGGGAGUAAAGGGAGCGUAGACGGUAAGGCAAGUCUGAUGUGAAAGGUGAGGGCUCAACCCUUAAACUGCAUUGGAAACUGUCCCACUGGAGUGUCGGAGAGGUAAGUGGAAUUCCUAGUGUAGCGGUGAAAUACGUAGAUAUUAGGAGGAAAACCAGCAGCGAAUGCGGGUUACGAGACGAUAACAGACGUGGAAGCGCGAAAGCGUGGGGAGAAAACAGGAGUAGAUACCCAGGUAGUCCACGCCGUAAACGAUGAAUCCUAGGUGUUGGCAAUCGCAUAUGGGCGGCGCCGCAGCAAACGCAAUAAGUAUUCCACCUGGGGAGUACGUUCGCAAGAAUGAAACUCAAAUGAAUUGACGGGG
rnacentral:rRNA from 1 species